CAGGGAAUCUUGCACAAUGGGCGAAAGCCUGAUGCAGCGACGCCGCGUGGGGGAUGAAGGCCUUAGGGUCGUAAACCCCUUUCAGCAGGGACGAAAAUGACGGUACCUGCAGAAGAAGCCCCGGCCAACUACGUGCCAGCAGCCGCGGUAAGACGUAGGGGGCGAGCGUUGUCCGGAUUUAUUGGGCGUAAAGAGCUCGUAGGCGGUUGCGUAAGUCGGAUGUGAAAACUCAGGGCUCAACCCUGAGACGCCAUCCGAUACUGCGCUGACUUGAAUCCAGUAGGGGAGUGUGGAAUUCCUGGUGUAGCGGUGAAAUGCGCAGAUAUCAGGAGGAACACCCAUGGCGAAGGCAGCACUCUGGGCUGGUAUUGACGCUGAGGAGCGAAAGCAUGGGUAGCGAACAGGAUUAGAUACCCUUGUAGUCCCUGAGCGGGCUGGCAAGGCGCAU
rnacentral:rRNA from 1 species